UCUUGGAGGGAAGAAGAUGGCGGCCAAAAGGGGGCGUGGCUACGAAAAGCCCCGCCCCUCGUUGCUGGCGGCCAUUUUCUUCCUUUGUAUCCAGGCAACGUGGCCAAAUUCAUACUGCUCCCUUUCAUGGUAUUGAUGGUGCCUUUUCCUCCUUCUCUUUUUAAGCUUUAUAUAGUCUCCAAGAUGAAGGCAACCAAAAGCAAUGACAGCUCUAAAUGCAUUUAUGCAGACUGCUAAAAACGAGCAGUAGGAAAAAAUUUAAAGAUUCUGCUGGAAGCUUAUAUUAUGGGCAUUAAAGAGCAAAACAAUGACGCGGCAAGCACAAAUAGCCCAGCCAUUCUGCGGUCAUUCGAGAUCCUUGGACAAACUUUGCAUUCACUGAAGGACGAUGUUGGGAUUAUGUUUAAUGUCCAUUAAUAAUAAAAAGUAAACACAAACAAGUAUUUUGUUGUAUAGUCGAAGGCUUUCACAGCCAGAGUCACAGGGACAAUGUAUGGUUUCCAGGCUGUAUGAGCAUGUUCUAGCAGCAUUUUCUCCUGAUGUUUUGCCUGCAUUUGUGGUGGGCAUUUUCAGGGGAUCCUCUGGAAAUGUCAGCCACAGGUACAGGAGAAAAUGUCAGGAGAAAAUGCUGCUAGAACAGCCAUACAGCCCAGAAACUACACAAUGCUCAAGUGUUUUGUGCUUUCCUCUGAGGCUGAGAGUGUGUGGCUUCUCCAAGAUCAUCUAGUGAGUUUCCAUGGCUGAGCAGGGAUUCCCAGUCUCCAUAGCCAUAUCACACUCUUUGCUCCAAUACUUUUUCCAACCAGUUUGUUCUUCCAUUUUUGCUUAGACGAUGCCCCGACACAUAACUUAUUAAUCAUUCCUCCCUCAGCAUUUAAGGCUCCUUUAUGUAGUUAGGAUCUGGGACUUCUAAGGCUACUCUACACAUUAGACUUAAUGCAGUUUGCCAUGGCUCUAUGUUCUAGAUUCAUGGGAGUUACUGAAUAAUAGACCACAUAGGCCAUCUAGUCCAAUCCCCUGCAAUACAGGAAAAGCACAAAGUAUCCCUGACAGAUGGCCACCCAGCCUGUUUAUAAGUUUCCAAGGAAGAAGCUUCCAUCAAAUUGAGGCAGAGAGCUCCACUGUUGAACAGCUUGUAGUCAGGAAGUCCUUCCUAAAGUUCAGGUGUAAUCUUCUUUCCUUCAGUUUGAACCCAUUGCAUCUAAUUCUAGUUUCAAGGGCAGUAGAACAAGCAUGCUCCCUCUUGUUUGGUGAAGCAACAGCAAAGUUGCUGUGAAAAUUAUCUUCAGAGAUGUGCAUGGAAAAACAUUCUUUCCCACGUGAUUCAUACAUUGAAUAGUUAUUCCCAUGAUUUAGCUCAGAUGCAUUUUGGUGCUUGAGACAAAGAUCAAAACGGCAUUAUUCUGUUUCAUAUCCAGAAGCGAGACUGCUGUUAACUGUUUAAAUUAGUAAUAUUUUUGUGUGUGCCAAGAGCGACUUGAGAAACUGCAAGUCGCUUCUGGUGUGAGAGAAUUGGCUGUCUACAAGGACAUUGGCCAGGGGGACGCCCUGAUGUUUUGGCUUCUCUCAUGACCCGCAUGGGGAGCUGGACCUGACAGAGCUCGCCCACUCUCCCUGGAUUCGAAUUGCCAACCCAUUGGUCAGCAGUCAUACUGGAAAAAGAGUUUAAUCCACUGCACCACCUGGAGCUCUGGCCAUGAAAGCCUUCAACACAUUGCCCUAUUUCAGUCACAUUUCUUACAUAACAAGAAUCAGACUGUGUGUAAGACUCUCCUUCUAUUAGUAUGUUAUCGAAAUACAGUAUUACAGGAUUUGAUGCUUUCUUCAUGGAUACAAUUUGUUUUGCAUGUUUUUUCUAAAUCCUCAUCCAUAAUAAACCAAUUUUUAUGAUAAGCCUAGGCUGAUGGAAGAAUGAUCCACUUUGGUUCUCCGGUGGGAGAGUGACAACACUCAACACAAACAGAAAACAUAAAAACCAUUUUAUUUGUUGACAUCUUUUCAAUAUGAAAAAGCUGGGUCGUUUAAAAAAAAAGAUGAGGGGAAUAGAGUGAUAAAAGAUUAAGAAAUGCCAACAGAGGGAAGAGCAGCAUGAAAAAGCAGAGAUGUUUUAAAGGAAGACAAAUGAGUGGCCCAAGAAGGGUCAUGAAAUCUUUGAAAACAACACCCAUUUGGAGCCGAUGCCUUGUUCCACAUUUCUUCAAUGGCAAUUAUUCUGUACUGUUGACGGUUAUCUACUUUAGGCUGGCACAUCUUUUAAGAGCCAACUCUUUAAAGUAGAGCAAAAAAGAUCUGGAAGGCAGAAAGUAGCUGCCAUCUCUGAGCACCAAUGCUCUCUGGAAUGAGCAGAUAGAAAAUGACAAGAUUCCUCUUGUUGUGUGCCUUCAAGUUAUUUCUGACUUAUCGCAACUGUAAGGCGAGCCUGUCACAAUAUUUUCUUAGCCACGUUUGCUCAAGAGGGGUUUUAAUCUUUACCUUCCCCUCUGAGGCUAAGGCAGUGUGACUUGCUCAAGUCAAGAAGUGGGUUUCAAUGGCCAAGUGAGGAUUCAAACCCUGGCCUUCCAGAGUUUUUGUCCAGGCUCUCAAAAGGUCAAAAGUAGCCUCCUUCAGAUUUUUUAAAAAGGCAAGAUAGGGCACAAGUUUUAAAUAGAAAUGAUUUGAAACAUGUUUUGGCAGUCAGAAGAGGAAAUGUCACCAGUCUUCUCAUUCUGUUGUGACUUCAGGUUUAAGAACAGACCAAAAGUAUUUAGAGUGACAGAUCCGAUUGGAGAAUCAAAAGCAAAAGGAGCAAAGCCUAAGACACAUACAAUUUCUCCUAGUUUUCAGAAGUAUUCAAAACACAUUUGUCUCCUGGCCCUAGUAACUCCUGGAAAGAGAACAUACAUUUUGCAUCUUCCAUCCUGUAAGGACUUUCCCUACAAAUCUAGCAGCCUUCAGGUUGACCAACCAUGUCCAUUAUCCCAUUCCUGACCAAGGAUGACAUAACUGACAUGUUCUGGGUUGAGAAAGGCUGAUCAAAGGUCUUUUCUGUAUCACCUUUCCAUUCAAUUCACAAUUAAGGACUCACACUCAUGUUCCCUCAUUAACAGCUCAUGAAUCAGAUGUGCGGAAAGAGCAGAAUGAGAAAAGAAGCUUCUCAAGUGUUGCUGAGACAGAUUAAAAUUGGCAACAGAACAAAGGAAACUAUAGCCCAGGCUUUUCUAGACUAAACUCUUGCUCCCAUCAUCCUUCAACACUGCAAUAGCAGCAAAAACUAAUAGACAUUUGAAUUCCAACAAAACCUGGAGCUGCUCUUCCAGGCAACCUUUCCUCACACACU